rnacentral:rRNA from 1 species
AAACGCUUGAAGUCAGUCGCAUCGACCGAGACUCAGCCUUGCCUCGGCUUGGUGUACUUCUCGGCUGAUGGGUCAGCAUCGAUUUUGACCGUUGGAAAAAGGCUUGGGGAAUGUGGCACUUUCGGGUGUGUUAUAGCCCUCUGUCGUAUGCAACGGUUGGGAUUGAGGACUGCAGCACGCCUUUAUGGCCGGGGUUCGCCCACGUACGUGCUUAGGAUGUUGGCAUAAUGGCUUUAAGCGA